UCGUCAAAUUGUGAUCUCGUUUUGAUUUAUCUCCAUGAUCGGAAUCGUUCAACUUGUAGAUCUUGUCAAUAAUAUUCAUGGUGUCAAAUAUCAUUUGAAUCUAAUUCUGAAUAAUUCCUAAUCGAAGACGAUCAAAGUAAAUUUGCUUCUAUAAAAAUAGGUUUGGCCCCACUGUAUCAAACCCAUUUUAUCAAGGAAUAGAAUUAGCUCCGACGAAGGGACGUCCCGGACGGCCGACGGAGAGGUUGUUCAGCAGAAAAGGAUUCUCACUCCAUUCUUAUUCAUCAAGGUGUUCAGUUGGAUCAGUCUAUGUAAAGUGUUUUAUUGAUUGGUGAAUACAGUUCACUAGUUCAGAGAACUCUUGUGGAAGCUUGGGGCUUGAUCAGAGAGACCUUUGCUGAUUCCAACCUUUAAUCAUCAAGACUGGGAUUUAAAGCUGCGACAAACAAUGGUGGAAAUGUUUCCACUUAGGUCCGCAGAUGCAGCUUACAACAAGAUCAGUGGAAUGCUUUCCAGACAUGGAGAUCCCUGCACUCUGAUUAUCAGUCGAAAGGAAUAUCAGAGUUUUAGGAUUGGUAGCGAUGGGAAUUUGCAAGGAGUCGGCCUCUUCAUAAACAUGGAACCUGAAACUAGGCAUUUGGUUGUUGUCUUGUGUAGAGGGUAGUCUACCUGCUCGUGCUGGUAUACAUGAAGGGGUUGAGUUAGUUGAGAUAAAUGGUCAAUCUACCUCGGAAUAUUAUUAAGCAUUCCCCUAUAUCCAGCACGACCAUCCAUCAUAGAACUCAAGAGGGCCAUCUAUUAAAGACUGGAUAUGUGAAGCUAUUAGUUCUAUCUCUGGUGUUGUAUACAACCACCUUAUUCUUAUAAGACAGAAUGCUGCUGUUGACAUGGGGAACACAGUUCCUGAGAUGGAGAAUCAGGGGGUAGAAUCAUACAUACUGAACCUGUGGAAUAAUCCGGUAACUUCCUAAUUCUUAGCCAACAUGGAGAAAUUUCUCAUGCGUUGGGUCAUGAAUUUGUAGAUUUGUGUAUGGCGGGAAAGGGAAAUGGUAGUGCAAGUUAGAAGAAUAUUUGGUCUACUCACUUCGUACCUUCUAGAGUGAUAUUUUCCUUUACCUUUUCUCUUCCCUCCACCAUUCUCAUACACGGGCUUAAAUUUAAUUGUGUCUUUCUCUUAUUCAUAAUGUUUGCAAGUUUUUUAAUAGGGAGGCUUGCGUCAUUCCCUUUGUUAUCAAUUCGUAAACUGGGUUGUGUAAAAAUUUAGGGGCAUUGUCUUUGCCAACUUAUAAAUUCCUUGAGAUCAACUGUUUUUUCAAACUAGGUUAGAAGCAACGAAAUAAGUUUUACCCACUAAUUACCUGAUAUAUGUAUGUUGGAAAGAAGAUAUAUAUCUAGUGAUUAGUCGGACCAAGAAAAGCUCUUUGUUACCAUUGUCAUGAAAGAACCCUUACUUUGCAAUUAUGUUAGACCCUGUGCAGAGCAACUCUUUUUCUUUGCAACUCAGUACCGGUCCGAAAAACUGA